UCAUCCACACAAACCUCAUCCUCUCGCUCGUGUCUCACCUGCCUUGCCUCUGUCUCUCGCUCGUGCCGUUGCAUCCUUGCUCCGGCGAGCCCCACCACUAGCCACGCGAGGAGCUGCAACCGGAGGACGGAGGAGCUGCUACCGGACACUCCGGGAGCUGCAACCGGCGGGCAGAGGAGCUACAAGCCGGGAACUAAACCGACGACCGCCGUGCUGGAUUCAGCGCGCCGGGGUGCUGCAACCGGCAGAUUAAAUAGCUACAACUACCUUUUGUUUUUGCUCGGACUGGUGAAAAAUUUCGCUGCGACCAUCGACGCUUGUAGCUCCGGCGAGAGCAACAUAUGCUCGCUGCGGAUAUGCGCGCAGCUCGUGCUCUACCCCAACAGCACGAUGCGUGCAGCUCUGGCGAUGGACAACAUCUUACUGGCGUGCGGCCCUUCCCCAACAGAUGGCUUGUCGCGGAUGAUGAUCUGCACGCUCCACUCAGCUCGCAGGAGAGGGCAACCACCAUCAAAAGAUGCUUCAACCUCGGCGUGGCAGAGCCCAAGUGUAGGUCCGGGAGCUGCAACGAACCAGACAAAUGAUGGAACAUGUGACGACCGUGUUGUGUCGGCGACGGUGCGGUCCACCAUUGCUGGAACCAGCUUCUUUUUUGGCUGGAACUACCAUUAUUUUUUGCUGGAACUUUUUUUGUUGCUACAAUCAACUAGUGUGUUUGCUGCUGAGUUUUUUUUUUGCUGGAACCAACAUGUGUGUUUUCUAGAACUGGCUUUUUUGUUUGCUACAAUCGUCUUUCUUGCUGAGAUUAUUUUUGCUGGAAAUGUCAUCAAUUUUUGGUACCAUCGUAUUCUUGUUUUGCUGGAACCAAUUUAUUUUUCAAGGAUCCAACUUGAUGGUGGUGCGGGUAGUUUUUUUUUUGUGAACUUCGACGGCGAGCAUCGACGGGGAGCACGGCAGUAACUGUCGACGACGAGGGCAAACGGGGUAGGGCAGACACAAGCAACGUGACGUGGUGGCGAGGUGUGGCUGUCAUGUGCUUGUGUUUUUUUUUCAGAUCUCGUGCACGGUGGGGAAGAAAGAGAUGGACGGUGGAAGGAUCAGACGGCUGAUAGUGGCAGAAUCGUACGGCUUGCGGGUGACCUGCCCAAAUUUGAACCACGCGCCGGCGCCUAUCUUCGCCCAUUUACAAAGGCUCAUUCAAUGCAUGAGAUGAGCCGGUCGACAAUACCUGUAAACAACUGACGCAACACUGGCAGGUUGAAGCCGGCUGGUAGCUAUAUACGGAACUACGUGGCGUGGAGCAACCGUCGCUCUAACACGAGGAGGUGAAGGCAACAUCCAACACCAGAUGUACAUGAAAAAAAGCAUCAUGUCGAGGAGUGCUCUCACCGAGCUAGUUAAGUUCUCAUCUAUAUUAGCACAUAUUGUUUAAUUAUAGCCAAAAGCUAUUUUUAAAAACCUUUGUCAUCCGAUCGCAAAUCUGGUGGCUCGUUUCUCUUGAUUAUUUAUUUCAAGGUCGAAUCGAA